rnacentral:rRNA from 1 species
CAAUAGCGUAUAUUAAAGUUGUUGCAGUUAAAAAGCNNNUAGUUGAAUUUCGGGGUUAGUAGGUUGGUCAUGCCUCUGGUAUGUANNNNNCUCACUGAUUCCUCCUUCCUUAUGAACCGUAAUGCCAUUAAUUUGGUGUUGCGGGGAAUUUGGACUGUUACUUUGAAAAAAUUAGAGUGUUUAANGCAGGCUAACGCUUGAAUACAUUNNNAUGGAAUAAUGAAAUAGGACGUUCGAUCUUAUUUUGUUGGUUUCUAGGAUUGACGUAAUGAUUAAUAGGGAUAGUUGGGGGCAUUAGUAUUCAAUUGUCAGAGGUGAAAUUCUUGGAUUUAUUGAAGACUAACUACUGCGAAAGCAUUUGCCAAGGAUGUUUUCAUUAAUCAAGAACGAAAGUUAGGGGAUCGAAGACGAUCAGAUACCGUCGUAGUCUUAACCAUAAACUAUGCCGACUAGGGAUCGGAUGA